UCGAGGAUCUUCGGCAAUGGGCGCAAGCCUGACCGAGCGACGCCGCGUGUGCGAUGAAGGCCUUCGGGUUGUAAAGCACUGUCGAGGGGGAGGAAAGCCCGCAAGGGUCUGACCUAUCCCUGGAGGAAGCACGGGCUAAGUUCGUGCCAGCAGCCGCGGUAAGACGAACCGUGCGAACGUUGUUCGGAAUCACUGGGCUUAAAGGGCGCGUAGGCGGGCCACCAAGUCUGGGGUGAAAUCUUUCGGCUCAACCGGAAAAUUGCCUGGGAAACUGGUGGUCUGGAGGGUGGUAGGGGCAGGUGGAACUUCCGGUGGAGCGGUGAAAUGCGUUGAUAUCGGAAGGAACGCCGGUGGCGAAAGCGACCUGCUGGACCACUACUGACGCUGAGGCGCGAAAGCCAGGGGAGCAAACGGGAUUAGAUACCCCCGUAGUCC
rnacentral:rRNA from 1 species